rnacentral:pre_miRNA from 1 species
UAAGUACUCCCUUCGUUUGGAAUUAUUUGCCGUAGAAAUAGAUGUAUCUAGAUGUAUUUUAGUUUUAAAUACAUUUAUAUCCGAGACAAAUAAUUCCGAACGGAGGGAGUAUAUG